rnacentral:rRNA from 2 species
UGUAUAAUGGGUCAGCGACUUAUAUUCUGUAGCAAGGUUAACCGAAUAGGGGAGCCGGAGGGAAACCGAGUCUUAAUUGGGCGUUAAGUUGCAGGGUAUAGACCCGAAACCCGGUGAUCUAGCCAUGGGCAGGUUGAAGGUUGGGUAACACUAACUGGAGGACCGAACCGACUAAUGUUGAAAAAUUAGCGGAUGACCUGUGGCUGGGGGUGAAAGGCCAAUCAAACCGGGAGAUAGCUGGUUCUCCCCGAAAGCUAUUUAGGUAGCGCCUCGUGAAUUCAUCUCCGGGGGUAGAGCACUGUUUCGGCUAGGGGGCCAUCCCGGCUUACCAACCCGAUGCAAACUGCGAAUACCGGAGAAUGUUAUCACGGGAGACACACGGCGGGUGCUAACGUCCGUCGUGAAGAGGGAAACAACCCAGACCGCCAGCUAAGGUCCCAAAGUCAUGGUUAAGUGGGAAACGAUGUGGGAAGGCCCAGACAGCCAGGAUGUUGGCUUAGAAGCAGCCAUCAUUUAAAGAAAGCGUAAUAGCUCACUGGUCGAGUCGGCCUGCGCGGAAGAUGUAACGGGGCUAAACCAUG